UUUUUCUUUUCUUUCCUAAAAGCAUUUGCUUGAUGAGUAUAUAACAAGAUCAUAUACCAAGAAACCAAACCCUUCAUUCCAACCCAAAUAUUUUUGAGCUAAGAGUUUUGUUGCAAAGAUGAGUGAGAUCAAAUAUGGCUAUCCAUAUCCUGCUCAAGGCCCAUAUCAGGGACCACCUCCGGUGGCGGCACCACCGCAAUAUUAUGCUGCUCCACCGCCGCCGCCACCACCUAAAAGACAACCGGGUUUUCUUGAAGGAUGCCUUGCAGCCUUAUGUUGCUGUUGCCUCUUGGAUGAGUGCUGCUGUGAUCCAACUAUAAUUUUUGCGGGUUAAUCUACUUCAACAAACUGGGAAAGUUGUAACUUAUUUUAAUUUUUAAAAAAUUUAAAAUUGUUUGGUGCAUAUAUUCUAUAGGUUGUAUGAGAAAGAAACCAGUGUUUGCUAUAUUAUAUGGUAUUGUACAUUUAUUAUCUGAAAUGGAAUUCCCCUUGAUUA